CGGCGUGCUAUACAUGCAGUCGAACGCUUUUUCUUUCACCGGAGCUUGCUCCACCGAAAGAAAAGGAGUGGCGAACGGGUGAGUAACACGUGGGUAACCUGCCCAUCAGAAGGGGAUAACACUUGGAAACAGGUGCUAAUACCGUAUAACAAUCGAAACCGCAUGGUUUCGGUUUGAAAGGCGCUUUUGCGUCACUGAUGGAUGGACCCGCGGUGCAUUAGCUAGUUGGUGAGGUAACGGCUCACCAAGGCAACGAUGCAUAGCCGACCUGAGAGGGUGAUCGGCCACAUUGGGACUGAGACACGGCCCAAACUCCUACGGGAGGCAGCAGUAGGGAAUCUUCGGCAAUGGACGSAAGUCUGACCGAGCAACGCCGCGUGAGUGAAGAAGGUUUUCGGAUCGUAAAACUCUGUUGUUAGAGAAGAACAAGGAUGAGAGUAGAAUGUUCAUCCCUUGACGGUAUCUAACCAGAAAGCCACGGCUAACUACGUGCCAGCAGCCGCGGUAAUACGUAGGUGGCAAGCGUUGUCCGGAUUUAUUGGGCGUAAAGCGAGCGCAGGCGGUUUCUUAAGUCUGAUGUGAAAGCCCCCGGCUCAACCGGGGAGGGUCAUUGGAAACUGGGAAACUUGAGUGCAGAAGAGGAGAGUGGAAUUCCAUGUGUAGCGGUGAAAUGCGUAGAUAUAUGGAGGAACACCAGUGGCGAAGGCGGCUCUCUGGUCUGUAACUGACGCUGAGGCUCGAAAGCGUGGGGAGCAAACAGGAUUAGAUACCCUGGUAGUCCACGCCGUAAACGAUGAGUGCUAAGUGUUGGAGGGUUUCCGCCCUUCAGUGCUGCAGCUAACGCAUUAAGCACUCCGCCUGGGGAGUACGACCGCAAGGUUGAAACUCAAAGGAAUUGACGGGGGCCCGCACAAGCGGUGGAGCAUGUGGUUUAAUUCGAAGCAACGCGAAGAACCUUACCAGGUCUUGACAUCCUUUGACCACUCUAGAGAUAGAGCUUCCCCUUCGGGGGCAAAGUGACAGGUGGUGCAUGGUUGUCGUCAGCUCGUGUCGUGAGAUGUUGGGUUAAGUCCCGCAACGAGCGCAACCCUUAUUGUUAG
rnacentral:rRNA from 1 species